AUGGUGUCACUGGGCUCAACUUCCAGGGUGAUGGUCUUGCCAGUGAGUGUCUUCACGAAGAUCUGCAUGUUUCUCUGCAAUGAGAGCAGCUCCACCUCAGUUUCUGGCCGCCACCCUGCCCUAAGCCGUUGCUGGGCUCCCGGGCAACGCCCCUUCGCGACGGCACGCCCUACGUACCUACGUCACCGCCUACAUCAUCUGACGUCAAAGCUCAGAACCGCCCACGUCCCCGUCCCGCUUCCCGCCCAGGCCGCCCGCGCCCGCCAUCUUGAAGGGCCGCUGCGCCUGCGCGGCCGCCAUUUUGCCGGUAGCCGCCUAUACCCCCCUCCGCCGCCCAUCGCCACUGCCCCUAUAACGGGGCACACGUACGCACACAUACGGCCCACCCCAAGGCCCGCCAUCUCCUCCAUUCACACCCCUUCCUCCCCAACAUACACACACACCUCCCGCCCCGUCACCCAGCCAGCACCUAAGCCCUGUCAGUGCCAUGACAAACGACUCUGCCCUCCGUCUUCCCGCGAAGAAGAGCAGCGGAGCACUCACCGCGGGUCCCGCAGGCGAAGCUCACCGAACAACAAGCUCCGAACCUCACAGCUACAACUGCGCCACACAGUCACCUACUGCCCCUUAUAUAGCCUCUGCGGCCCCGCCCCCUGCGGCUCAGAUCACUCCGCCAGGCACUAUUUUUCCUGUGGUCCGCGCCGCAGCUUUACCGGAAGGCGUGAGGGAAACGAGGCCCGGCAUCGCGGAGGAGUCAGCUCUUUGAGCGGUGAUAGGACCCGAUGGCGGGCGGGGCCAGUGAGUGCCCGAAGGAGCGCGGAGGAAAACCUGGCGUGGAUCUACCAGUUUCCGGAGCGGGAGGCGGCGAUGGUGCCCCAGCGAGCAGACCCGUCUCGAUCUGGGGGACACCCCUGUGCCUAAAGCUUCUUGUCGGAGCAUUACGUUUUAUGUAGGGACUUAACCCCCAACAGCCUCGUUAGAAGCGUUCCAGAAGCGUGUUUCAUCAUGCUAGAAGGAAAGAAGCAGUGGGGGAGCAUGGAGCACCCCCCCAGCCCAGGACAAUGACCUGGAGGUGCUGCCACGGAGCCCAGGGAUGGGAGAGAUGGGGUGACGGACAGAGGAGGCUCGAUGGAUAAAGAGGUGUAAGUGCUGCAGAUAUAUCUGAGGUAGAAUCAGUGUGUGCAUAUGUAUGUACAAAUGGAGUACGUAUCGAGGAUAGAAUGGAGUCUAUAAGGACUAAGGCCUUGCCACGGGGGUAAAAUCAAUCAUAAAUAUGGAUAUAAUAAUGACUGGUUUGUAUUCUAUUUCCACUGGCAGAACACCUUCUGAUAGAUCUCUCGCACUCUGUUGGCUCCUGGUCCACCCCCGUCUCACUGCGCAGUGAUCCGCGCACACAGCUGAGCACAAACGGGGCUUUGUUCGCAGGGCUGGUGUGAUGUUUGGUUCAAUCCACCCCCAAAAUCCUUCCUCUGCCAGCGCCCACGGAAAACGGCUGCGUUCCAAGCGGACACAGAUGACACCCAGCGCUGCACACCAGUAGGAAGGGAGCAGAGGCCCAGCAACAGCUUUGUGAUUGGUGUGAGGGAAACCCGCUUGCCUUUGCCUGACACAUGGGGCUUUUAUAGGAGGUGAAUGCUCAGCCUUGGCUGCCUUGUGUUUGUGUUGAAACUUAGCAUUGUGAGGGUGGUUAGCUGGGGAAAAACAAAGAUCCGCUAAAGUAUUUUGGUUUCUUCCCGGUGGUUUAUAUUGUGUGCAUAUAGUCUUUUGGAUUUGGGUCUCUCAUCUGAAAGAGAAUAACGAUGAUAAGCUUAUUCUUUUAGUUACAGAGCGAGCGUUCAGAAUUGCUCUAAGAAUAGUUAGGUGGCAGCGCAUUUCGUGACAAGAUAGUGUUGUAACGAUGAAAUUAAGAUGAUAAAGCGCUGGUUUUCAUCUACGUGGGGUGAUUGGCCAUUGAGCAUCCUGAGUGAGUUUGUACCUGGUGUCUGAAUCGAAUGGUGGAGCAGCACUCUCCUGAAUGUUCAGGUUUGCGUUGUAUUCAGAUUGUGAGGCAGACAUUGGGCCCGAAUGCCACAGGCUCCUCCGCUGCCCGUGGCUGGUUUGCAGAGCAGCGCUUUCCCGCUGGGAGGGGCUUCCUGUGACCAAAGCUGCUCUGUUUCUCCUGAACUCUCUGUACCCCUUGCUAUGCUUUCACGACAAGCUUGGUGAACAGCAGGACCUUGGUCCCCACAGACCAUGACCUAUUUUACUGGCAAACACUGGUUUCCUGUGUCGGAGUCUGGUACUUUGUGUCUGUAACUACAAAAUCCCUGGGGUAAGAACCGUCUCUUUUCUUGCAUUCAUGUGCAGGGUAUAUUCCAGAAGUGCAGCUGCCCAGAGGGAUCCUGUCCAGGGAGCUGGUUACAGCGGGGAUCUUCACAUUUGACGGUGCUGUAGCCAAACGGCUGGCUCAAGAUAACACGA
ensembl:lncRNA